CCAGCAGCUCAGAUAAGCAGCCCCAGUCUCCCCAGUUUACGACUCACGUUGCAGAAGAAGAAGAGAGAAUAAAGAUUAUAAACCGCUGAGAUUUAAAAACAGAGAUUGAUUCACUAAAAGAGGGAAAGUGUCAUUAAAAGGUUGUGCAGGAUUUAAAUGAGGAAUGAAGGUGAUGAGAAAUGAGGACAGUCGUUGUACAUAGUGUCAGUUUUUGUAUUAAUGUUGUCGUGUUUUAGUCUCUAAGUUCUAACCUGAGUGUAAAGUGCCCGAUACACUUGAUACACAAUCUGGAUGAUGGAAGCAAAUGUCUGAUCAAAGGAACAUUGAUAGCAGCAGUACAUGAAAUAUGGACACUUUGUCACAAACGCUUCAACGCCUCCACACUUACAUUUCAAUACGCUGAACAUGAGAGAAAAAGUCUGUCAGACAAUCGCAGAGCGACGGAAUGUGGAAGCAUUUAAAAAUAUCUACUUAGAGGAAAGUUGUAGACUGUUUGAGUUGCUUUUAAUGAUUGUUUGAUGUGUGAAGACGUUGAAGAACAGAAGUUGAGGGUGUUGAAUGAGUCCAAUCAUUAGCAAGGUACUAAACUAAGCAGCAUGAGACACAUUCACAGGGGACAUCUGGACAGACAGGAAGAGGAGUUCAUCCUUUCAUAGAAUUAUGCUUAUUCAGAUAACUAAAAGCAUUUAUCAGAAUAAGAAGAAUUGGUUUCUGAAGGCUAGAAGUUCUUGUAUCUGCUGUUUCUAUUUCAAGUAAAGCUACACAACAACACGGAGAGAUUGUGUCCGUUUGUGAAGGUAAACUGUGAAGGACACUGUCUCAUCCAUUGACCCUGUGAUUGGUCUCUAACUACGUCCUUUACGGAGUCUCACAUCUCCGUUUUCACAGCACAAUACGGCCGUUAUUAAAAGGAUGAAUGUUUACGAGAGAACGGAUCAGAUUGAAGAGCUUUUGUGGGAAGAAAUGCGUAAAUAUGAGCACUUGUACAAGCCGUCAUUGGCGGACUAUGAGGACGCCGGAUGGCCUCUGAUUCAUGGAGGGAGAUCUCCACAAACGAGGGGAACAAAGUCGUGGAGGAAAAUACGGGACAAAUGUGUCCGUGAUGAAAAGCAGCAGUGUGGAUGCACGGGGCAAUAAAGUCUAUGAUCAAUAAAUAAAGCAACCAACGACUUCCAC
ensembl:lncRNA